ensembl:lncRNA
UGCACACGGCUGUGAGUGUGGUGUCGUGACUACAUUCAUCUUCAUAAAAAGACUGUGGGCUGAUGUGUUACUUCCUAAUUCACUCAUUGUGUGAGUCUCGUCUCUAUUCUCACUCUCGCUGUAAUGGAGUUGUUCAUCUUCAUAGUGUUUCAGCUCCUGAUGGAGGUUCAGUCUUACAAUUCACUUCCGAAACCCUUCAUCAGUGUUAGUGGAGAUGAUGACCAGCUCAGCAUAUCAUGUGAAAUACCACUUUCAGUCAGAGCUGAUUUCAACUGUAGUCUCUACACUGAGGAUGAUGUUCUUCUGUAUCAACGUGUCUCUCUGUGGAGUCAGUCUGGAGGGAAUCUUUGUAUAUUUUAUGUAAAUCGUAGUGAACUCUUGACACGAUCAGUGAACAGCAGACAACUGUUCUGUGUUUAUUCACGCAAGACUGAACCUGAGAUCAGAUCACCACACAGUGACACAUACACCUUCAGAGGUGAGUUAUUAUCACUGUUAUCAUUUAAAAAAAAAAUAAAAAAAUAAAAGCACAUGAUUAGAGACACCUAUAUAAUUCUUAUUAGCCAGUAUGAUUUAUCAUGUAGGCCAGACGGAUAUUAUGAAAUCAUGAAGGAGGAUUGACCCAUAAAAAAAUGUGAAGUCAGUACCUUCAACAAACAAACUAAAAUGAGAAAACUGGAAUGAUAAUAUCUGUUUAAUAAUUCUGGAUGGAUAUUUUUUAUAAAGACACUUUCAAUAGGCUGUACAACACUGAAAGAACAAAUAUACUAAAUGUUGGAAAGUUGAAUAUAGUUGAUCAUAAUCCCUGGGACACCACAGACUCAUUCAGAAACAAGAUAUUGACGCUGAUUCUAGCAGUUGUGUGAUGCUGCUGUCAGACACUCAAUCAGUAGACAGUAAUCUGUGAAGUCUCGAUUCUAACACAGAAAAAGGUUAUUUUUAAAUUCUUUUCAGACAAGCACUAAAACCACAGUGUGACUUUUAAAAGUGAGUAAUCUGAUACAUGUAGGAAGAAAGGAAGAGCUGCUUGAGCUAAUCAUGUGAUCAUAGUUUAGAGGGCAGAUAGACUAUAGCCGUGUUUCUACCGCUGGAACUUUACCCAGGAACUAGGGACUUUGGGCUGGUACUCGGUGUGUUUCCACAGCAGGAACCAGGACCUAAAUAAAGUUCCGGCUAAAAAAAAAAACUGCCCCUCA